ensembl:lncRNA
GAGAAUUGGCAGUGAGGAAAUGAAGGCAGCUGGUAGCUCCAGUCACAAGUUGGGUAGUGGACCAUCCAAGAGGCCAGGGGCUAUAAGGGCUUCCUCCAUGGGCAGGAAAUCUCCUGGCGAAAGGAACCCAUUACUUGGGCUGCAGUGCCUCCCCUCUCCGCCUGGUUAUCUCAGCUCUGGCCAAGGGCAGUCCUCACUCGUGGGGGUGCAGAAGGGACUCUUUGGAAAAUGCUUGUGUUAAUUACGUAGUGUAGUCCUCUUUAGCAGGAACAUUUAGCAGAUAUCAAGUAUAGUCAACUAGCUCUGACUCUGGGGUCAGACAGACCUGGGACCCAAAGGCAACUCUUCCACAUACUUGCUGUGUGACCUCGGGGCCAGAUAAAGCAAACCAGGCACUAGCUUGGGGUGAAAAAGAUUCAGUAAUCAAGUUUGGGAAGAUUCUACAUACCACGGAGCAACUAAGUCCAUGCACUGCAACUACUGAAGCCUGUACGCCCUAGAGCCCAUUUUCCACUGAAGCCUGUACACCCUAGAGCCCAUUUUCCAGUAGUAGGAGAAGCUACUGCAAUGAGAAGCCUGCACACUGCAACAAGAGAGUAGCCCCUGCUUGCUGCAACUAGAGAAAGCCCACACAGCAAUGAAGACC